rnacentral:rRNA from 1 species
CAAUAGCGUAUAUUUAAGUUGUUGCAGUUAAAAAGCUCGUAGUUGGAUUUCUGGUGGGAGCGGUUGGUCUGCCCCGCGAGGGGUAGUAACUGAGCCGUAUCCGGCCCUUUUCGGGUUGAUCGUGGUUGGCAUUAAUUUGUCGGUGCGGGAGGCCCGUCGUUUACUGUGAACAAAUUAGAGUGUUCAAAGCAAAGUGUUUUUGAAUAUAUCAGCAUGGAAUAAUGAGAUAGGACUUUGGUGGUUCGUGCUCUCGGGUACGAUAUUUUGUUGGUUUGCACGCCAAAGUAAUGAUUAAUAGGAGCAGUUGGGGGUAUUCGUAUUCAAUUGUCAGAGGUGAAAUUCUUGGAUUUCUAGAAGACGAACUACUGCGAAAGCAUUUACCAAGGAUGUUUUCAUUAA